AGACGCCCAAAUCCUCAUUUAUGGACCUCUGUGACAGGCUGAUGACAACCCUCAUCAGCAGAGACAUGGGAUUAGCAUUUACCAAUCAAUUCCAUCUGACAAGUGCAAGUGGGAUUUUGAACAGAGCCACUCGGCUUGUGUUGUGCGAGUCAACACUGGUGGCCUCAACCUUGGAGGAGAGAGAGGCCGCGAGGAGAAUUCAAACCUGAAGCCGCUGAUGUGUCUAUUAAACCACCAUCCCCAUCUCCUCGCAAUCACCACCAUUACCUCCAUGAUGUCUGGGGAGAAUGAACGUUUCCUUUAACCGCCUGCUGCCUACACUCCACCACCACCAGCAGCAUCUAGGCGCCGGGGGAUCCCACCUCGUCUCCUUCGUAUGGGCCUACAUUUAAUGAAGUUGCUCCACAUCGAUGGAGCAUAAUUGCUGAAAGUCAUUUGGGGGGGGGGUUCCAUCAAGAGUCUUUGAUCUGAUGACCUCAAGGAACGUGCUGGGCUCUAAAAGAUCCCAGACCAGCAGUCGUGUGUUGACAUUGAGGCCAGCUGUUCCAGUGCAUUCUCAUGUGAUUAAGAUGAGAGACGGGGUGGGACAGCAUAUCCUGGGCAAGGAUGAGACGAGGAAAGAUGGCUGUCAUUCCUCUCUGGGCCAGCACAAUACUUUAAUCACCUCACACCUGUCCUCCAUUUCAUCCCCCCAUUCCAGAUGCCUGACACAGCCCAAUCGAAACCUCAAGAUCAUUUAUUCAUCUCUCUGUAUUUUUUUUUUUUUGUCAUUUGCUCAAUUUUCUCCCGGCCUUCUGUGUCCUUCGUCCCGUCCGAUGUCCUUCGCUUUGCUUCCAUUGUGUUGUCCUCUUUAUUCAUAACUUAUUGACCAUAUCUGUGUCACUCCGUGUGUGUGUGUGUGUCUCAACAUGGUCCCUAUGAAGACAAAUGUGACCCUAAGGAUGCAGUCCAUGAUAUUCAUUCUCCAGCGAAAGUCAAUGUGCCGCCAGUGUAACCAGGACAGAUCCUCUCUCAAGUGGAGCUGGAGAGAAAAUGAGGAGGAGGAAAAGAAACACAGGCUCUAAAAAAGAAAAUCAUAUUUUUCUUCCACCAGUGAGUGAGAUAGUUGUGUGUUCAGCCAUGUAUGACCAGCGAGUCCUUGACAGAGAAGGGGAUUUUGUUUCAACAAGUCCUUUAAACCUGAACAACAACACGAGUGAUAUCAUUUCUACUAUCUACUCAAAUCAUAUCUCAAUGAUGGUUCACUAAAAAAAAAAUGUUAUAGUAGGUUAUACUUAUUAAAGGUAACUAGACAUUAGCAGAUCUUUACAAAGUUUGAUGGAGGUUUGUGACAGUUUAAAAUACAGUGUGUAGUAUUACUGUAAUAAAGUGAGUACAUGUAUAUAACUGGCACAGUAAAGGAGAGUCAUCUGUAAUGGGUGUUGUGUCCAUUUGGGCCUAUUUUUGUCAUCAUAGGUUGUUUCAAUCAGUUGAGUUGUACAGACUACACAACAAAACGUGUGUGUGUGUGCGCACACACAUGGCCAUUCAUUCUGCUGUGACAGUAAUUCAGAGGGAUUGUAUUGAUUGUCCCUGAUGGACACUGAGAUAUCAAGCAGGACACUUGUCUCUGUCUUUUUCUUUUCGCUCUCUCCCUCUCUCUCUCACACACACACACACAGUGUCUAGAGAAGCCACUUCAGGGAAUAGAAAUAGAAAGUAAGCACAUAGUUAAGUGAUUAACCGACAGUUUCUUGUGUCUGCGAGUCUCGCCCCAGUAAAGUCCACCAUGUCUUAAUGACUGAAAAGGGAAUCCAGCGACAGCUCACUUCAUCACUGUCCUGCAGUGGCCUAAAGAAUGUUUCCUCCUCAUCCUCAUCACUACAUCUUCUCCUCCACCGCUCUGGUGCAUCUGGUGGCUUGUUCUUUCAAGUAUCCUCUGACAAAUUCCCUUCAUCAAAUGAAGCAAAUGUUUUUUUCAUUCGAUUUGCAUUUCUUCCAUGCAGUCAUGCAAUGUACAACUUUCCAUUAUGACUCCGUGACUCCAACUUAUCUAUCCGGAACUUUGAGGUGCAGUGGAAACUCAAACCACACAGAUUACCAGUCAUUCCUUUCCCCCGGUAAAUAAGUUCCUGGUACUAAAGGUUCUUGGAAAUGUCGUCUGAACUUCUCAUGCACAUAGAAUGCACAGGUAUGUUCAGACCUCACCUACAUCACUUGCUCAUUAUGCUGAAACGGCUCUUUGAUUGGCCUUUAAAUAGAUCAUUUUUGACCCCCUCAUAGAUGUUUGGUAGCGUAGCCAGCUGUCUCCUCUGCCUGCCAGUGAGAGCGCGGGUGCUCUCAGGUGUCUGUGCUUAUUGCCGGUCUGCCUGUUUGCUCUCAAUCUGUCAGUGCUGUGGCCAUUCUGGCAAGAAAGGGAGUGAAAUAGCAAGAGACCAUAGCGUUGUGUGUGUGUGCGUGUGUGUGUGUGUGUGUUCCUAGUGAGGGUGUCAGCAUGGCACAUCAUCCUUCAGGCAGAACCACAACAGGACCCAUCUGCCAGCCAAAACAGAGGGACUGAUCAGAGCAAUCCUGAUACAGAUUGCCACAAACACCACUCCCCUCCCUUUAAUAAGCCUCGUCUUCUCCUCGACAUCUUGCCCCGUAUCAGUUGUGUUGUCACUCUCCUUUGCUCACCUCAUCCUUAACCCCCCUCUGCUCAUCAUCUUUACAUUUGGGUUCUCAUUUCAGCCUCAUUUGAGAGCAGCGAGUUGUCCAGCUGUCUCAUGCUUAACCUUAUCUACAACCAACCAAACAACUGUCUACAAAUGUUGUGUAGAUGUUU